UUUACCUACGGGACGCAGCAGUGAGGAAUAUUGGUCAAUGGGCGAGAGCCUGAACCAGCCAAGUCGCGUGAGGGAAGACGGUCCUAUGGAUUGUAAACCUCUUUUGUCGGGGAGCAAAAAGGCCUCGUGAGGCCACAAGUGAGAGUACCCGAAGAAAAAGCAUCGGCUCACUCCGUGCCAGCAGCCGCGGUAAUACGGAGGAUGCGAGCGUUAUUCGGAUUUAUUGGGUUUAAAGGGAGCGUAGGCGGACUGGAAAGUCAGCGGUAAAGU
rnacentral:rRNA from 1 species